rnacentral:rRNA from 1 species
AACGACUCUCGGCAACGGAUAUCUCGGCUCACGCAUCGAUGAAGAACGUAGCAAAAUGCGAUACUUGGUGUGAAUUGCAGAAUCCCGUGAACCAUCGAGUUUUUGAACGCAAGUUGCGCCCGAAGCCAUUNGGCNGAGGGCACGUCUGCCUGGGCGUCACGC